rnacentral:rRNA from 1 species
GCCAGCAGCCAUAUCAUCCUGCAACUCACAACAGGCAAUCCCACUGAACUUAAGCAGGUGUGAGCCUGGUCAGUACCUGGAUGGGAGACCACCUGGGAAAAGCUAAGGUUGUUGCUGGAA